CUUCCUGAACUAAUUGCAAGUUAUGGGGAACUUCGGGUAUAUAACGUAAAUAAUUACAGUCUAAUAAUUGUUCCUCAGAAUGCAAAGCCUUUCAAGUUCAGAAACUUUAGAGAAUGCCCUGUUUGUUAACCAUGUUUCUUUUGGCAGGAGGGGGUCCGCAUGGAAGAAAUAGUUGAAGGUUGUACCGGAGCCCUUCACAUCCUAGCUCGGGAUGUUCACAACCGAAUUGUUAUCAGAGGACUAAAUACCAUUCCAUUGUUUGUGCAGCUGCUUUAUUCUCCCAUUGAAAACAUCCAAAGAGUAGCUGCAGGGGUCCUCUGUGAACUUGCUCAGGACAAGGAAGCUGCAGAAGCUAUUGAAGCUGAGGGAGCCACAGCUCCUCUGACAGAGUUACUUCACUCUAGGAAUGAAGGUGUGGGUAAGUAAAAAGGAACCAAAGCGUUUAGCAGAUGUGUACAUUGAAGUCUCAGUUUUUCCUCAAGGGCCUUUUUUUCCUUGUCUCUUAGCGACAUAUGCAGCUGCUGUUUUGUUCCGAAUGUCUGAGGACAAGCCACAAGAUUACAAGAAACGGCUUUCAGUUGAGCUGACCAGCUCUCUCUUCAGAACAGAGCCCAUGGCUUGGAAUGAGGUAGGGAAAUGUGAGCAGUUAUUUAUCUGGUAGUUUCCUAGAGCAGGUAAGGCAGCUUGUUCUUUCCUCUCAAAACACUUAGUACACAUUCAUUUGCAUUGAUGUUUCCCUGGCUUGAGUAUUUCUUCUUUAUGCUGUCCAGCAACUGCUCUGAGGAAGAACUAUAAUACAAGCUUUAAAGAGCCUGUUCAGAAUCAUUACAAAUAAGUUGUGUUAUUUAAAAUUAUAAUUCAUAAGGGAGAAAAAUGAAAAAUGUUACCAGAUUAAAGAAGAUUUUUCAAAAGGAUGUAAGGAAAGAGGCAGUUAAACACUGUUAGAAGACAGUUUAUCAGUAUUUUUUACUAAACUUUAAUAAAACUUUUCUAUUUGAAUUCAGUAUUUGUCCUCAGUACAGGUGUUCCUUGAAACAUUGUUUCUAAUAAAACUAGAACCAUCCUGAUAUUUUAUCCACUCUAUAGAGAUCAUUGAUGGUACACAGUCAUACAGUGGAUUAUAUUUGUUGAGUGAAUGGAAAGAGAGAUUGUUAGGUUUAAACCGAUGCAGCUCUUGAGGCCAGGAGUUUAAGACCAGCCUGGGCAACAUAGUGAAACCCCAUCUUUAGCUGGGCAUGGAGAUGGAUGCCUAUAGUCCUAGCUACUGGGGAGACUGGGGCAGGAGGAUUGCUUGAACCCAGGAGUUAACAGACUGCACUCAGUGACAGAGCCAGACUCCAACUCAAAAAAAAAAAAAAAAAAAAAAAGCAGA
rnacentral:sRNA from 1 species